UACGAAGGGGGGCUAGCGUUGCUCGGAAUCACUGGGCGUAAAGCGCACGUAGGCGGGUUGUUAAGUCGGGGGUGAAAUCCUGGAGCUCAACUCCCAGAACUGCCUUUGAUACUGGGAAUCUCGAGUCCGGGAGAGGUGAGUGGAACUGCGAGUGUAGAGGUGAAAUUCGUAGAUAUUCGCAAGAACACCAGUGGCGAAGGCGGCUCACUGGCCCGGUACUGACGCUGAGGUGCGAAAGCGUGGGGAGCAAACAGG
rnacentral:rRNA from 1 species